UACGGAGGGGGCAAGCGUUAUCCGGAUUCACUGGGCUUAAAGGGUGCGUAGGAGGGCAGGUAAGUCAGUGGUGAAAUCCCCAAGCUUAACUUGGGAACUGCCGUUGAUACUAUCUGUCUUGAAUACCGUGGAGGUGAGUGGAAUAUGUCAUGUAGCGGUGAAAUGCUUAGAUAUGACAUAGAACACCAAUUGCGAAGGCAGCUCGCUGGACGAAUACUGACUCUGAGGCACGAAAGCGUGGGGAGCAAACAGG
rnacentral:rRNA from 1 species